AAUUAUUUCAUACACCAGUGUUGCCACUUUACCACAAUUGUGGUAGAUCUACCACAUUUUGGGUAAUUUUUCACUUCUACCACAACUACCCUAUAUU